UACCAGCACCCCGAGUGGUCGGGACGAUUAUUGGGCCUAAAGCAUCCGUAGCCGGUCCUACAAGUCUUCCGUUAAAUCCACCUGCUUAACAGAUGGGCUGCGGAAGAUACUAUAGGGCUAGGAGGCGGGAGAGGCAAGCGGUACUCAGUGGGUAGGGGUAAAAUCCUCUGAUCCAUUGAAGACCACCAGUGGCGAAGGCGGCUUGCCAGAACGCGCUCGACGGUGAGGGAUAAAAGCUGGGGGAGCAAACCGG
rnacentral:rRNA from 1 species